UAAGCAGAUAGUCUCCGAGCCGCAGCCUUCUAAAGGGAGUACCCCCACGAAGCUUUGGCCGUUGGGUGCCGCCGGAAACGGCGCCGCCUCCCCUUUGGAAAGGAGAACCGCCGCCGCUUUC
rnacentral:ncRNA from 2 species